rnacentral:rRNA from 1 species
UACGGAAGGUGCAAGCGUUAAUCGGAAUCACUGGGCGUAAAGCGCUCGUAGGUUGCUUUGUAAGUCAGGUGUGAAAUCCCACGGCUCAACCGUGGAAUUGCACUUGAUACUGCAUUGCUUGAGUUCGGGAGAGGGUAGUGGAAUUCCAGGUGUAGGAGUGAAAUCCGUAGAGAUCUGGAGGAACACCGGUGGCGAAGGCAGCUUACUAAACUGAAACUGACGCUCAGGCACGAAAGCGUGGGUAGCAAAC